rnacentral:rRNA from 1 species
UCGCGUACCCCUCAACCCCCGAUCUUCUUUGAUCGCGCGGGCUUUGGACCGUGGCC